rnacentral:rRNA from 1 species
AAUGAACGUUGGCGGCAUGGAUUAGGCAUGCAAGUCGGGGGAAUCCCAGCAAUGGGGGAACCGGCGUAAGGGGCAGUAAGGCAUGGGUACCUACCUUGGGGUUCGGGAUAGCCAUCAGAGAUGGUGGGUAAUACCGGAUGACGUCGUGAGACCAAAGAUUUAUCGCCCUUAGAGGGGCCCAUGUGAUAUUAGCUAGUUGGUGGGGUAACGGCCCACCAAGGCGAAGAUGUCUAGCGGGUGUGAGAGCACGACCCGCGCCACUCGCACUGAGACACUGGCGAGACACCCACGGGUGGCUGGAGUCGAGGAUCUUCGGCAAGGAGCGCAAGCUUGACCGAGCGAUGCCGCGUGAGCGAUGAAGGCCUUCGGGUUGUAAAGCUCUUUAGUGGGGGAGAAAAGCCGCAAGGUGUGAUCUAUCCCAAAAAUAAGCACGGGCUAAGUUCGUGCCAGCCGCCGCCGUAA